UUGAGAAACAGAUCUAGGGUUUAAUCAAACUUCCCUGAGUUAUAAAGGGAGAAUUUCCCUUACCCUAACUCCCCACACGGCGCCGAGCUCCCUCUUCUCUCCCGAGCCCUCACGACACCGCCUCCCUCUCCUUCGCCGAGCUCAGCCGGCCUCUUCUCUGACCCGCGCACGAGCACCACGCGGGAGCCGGCCUCUUCUUCCCUCACGCGAGUUGCACGGCCGGCGAUCUCCUCUUUUCUGCGAGCACCUAGUAGCCGUCCACCCUCGCGUGAGCACCACACAACCGGCCCUUUCCCGCACGCGAACACCCCAGCGUCGCCUUUCUUGUGCCCUAGCGUCGACCGACUUCUUCCUGUCCUAGCGUCGGCAACCGGAUUUCUUCCACCUCCGGCCCCUACAAGAGCUGUCCAGCAAACAAAUUUCCUUUGUAACUAUGAGAUGAAUGUUUCUUUCCGUAGAUUACGAUACAAUCCGGGAUGAUGUCUAGGGCAUCAAGGUAGUUGUUUUCCAUCUUGUUCCUCUUAUGCCUGCUGUGGAUUUAGGUAAAGUCAUUUGGUUUUGAUGGAGUUCUAGAUCCCUCAAACUAGUUGUAAUAUGGUGGACAGAUUUUGGCAUAGGGUAGUUGUGACAUGGUUGCCUUUGAUGGGUUUGUCCUUCUUGCGAUCCUUUUUGGUUCCAUGGAUUUGGGGCUUUUGAUUGAAUUUGAUGUGCUUCAUUCUUCUCACUAGUUGGGUUUCGGUUAAUUCUUGUUGUAGAAGUUUUAAGCCUUGAUCGAUGAUGCUUUUGAAUUUGGGUGAAAUUGUUCCCAAUCUGUUCUAUGGAAUAGAGUUUGUAAAAGAAGUCUUACUAUCUUGUGGAAUCCAUUUUGGGGUAUGUUCUCGUGAUGUUAUGGGGUUUAAGUUUGUUGAAUUCUAGUUUUGGGAAUUUUUAUGCAGCUUUUGGUGUUCCUGUUAAUGGAUUUGUUAUGAAGUUCUGUUGUAUGCUAGUUAGGAGUCUUUUGAUAUUAAGGAUUUGGUUAGUGGUUUGGUUAGUUUAUUUCCAAUUGAAACUGUUUCCUUACGGGAUCUCAACGUUUAUGGCAAAACACAUCUUGACUUAUGAAGUAGGAUAUGUCUAGGACAACACAACUAAAUGGUGAUACGCGAUUUUGUUUUUAGUAAAUUAGGGUUUUCCCUAAUCAGAUUCAGGUUAUGGGUUAGCCACCCAAUUCAUGAUGGGUUUAGUUAACUAGUUCAUGUUUGACAUAGCUAUAAUAUGCAUCACGUGUUUGCAGGAUUUUGAUUCGAUACGGGUGAUUUAACAUUGGGUUGGUCUGGCACGAGCUUCGCAAUAAAGGCGGGUAACAGGUAGAUGAGUCAUGGAUGCUUGGAGAGUCCCGGCUGCCAGUCCUAAGUCACACUCGAGGAUAGCUUUCUUUUUGGUUUUGUUAUUGUUUUGGGUGGUAGGUUGAUUUUGUGUAUUUUGCUUUUCAAUAAGUCGAUGUAAAUUUUGGAUUCAAGUCUGGUGAUUGCCGGUAUUUUUGUUGGUGUUGUUGUUGGUCUUCCGUUCGUAUUAUGUUUUGUGUUUUCCGCUG